rfam:Turnip vein-clearing virus, complete genome.
GAAUUCGUCGAUUCGGUUGCAGCAUUUAAAGCGGUUGACAAUUUCAGGAAGAGGAAAAAGAAGGUUGAAGAAAGGGAUGUAGUAAGUAAGUAUAAAUAUAGACCGGAGAAAUACGCCGGUCCUGAUUCGUUUAAUUUAAAAGAAGAAAAUG